AGGGCACCACCAGGAGUGGAGCCUGCGGCUUAAUUUGACUCAACACGGGGAAACUCACCCGGCCCGGACACCGGAAGGAUUGACAGAUUGAUAGCUCUUUCUUGAUUCGGUGGAUGGUGGUGCAUGGCCGUUCUUAGUUGGUGGAGCGAUCUGUCUGGUUAAUUCCGAUAACGAACGAGACUCUAGCCUAUUAAAUAGACGUCGGGUUCUCUGCACUCGACGGUCUUCUUAGAGGGACAAGGUGCUUUUAGCACCGCGAAACAGAGCAAUAACAGGCCUGUGAUGCCCUUAGAUGUCCGGGGCCGCACGCGCGCUACACUGAAGGAAGCAGCGUGUAACAACCUUGUUCUAACGAACUGGGUAACCCGUGGAACUUCCUUCAUGAUUGGGAUAGGGGUUUGCAAUUGUGCCCCUUGAACGAGGAAUUCCCAGUAAACACUAGUCAUCAGCUAGUGCUGAUUACGUCCCUGCCCUUUGUACACACCGCCCGUCGCUACUACCGAUUGAAUGGUUUAGUGA
rnacentral:rRNA from 1 species